rnacentral:rRNA from 1 species
CCUGUAGAGAAUACCGAGGCGUUCGGGUGAACUAUGGUUAAGGAACUCGGCAAAAUGCCCCCGUAACUUCGGGAGAAGGGGGGCCAUUCUGGGUGAUUGGAUUUUCUCCAUGAGCUUGGGGUGGCCGCAGAGACCAGCGAGAAGCGACUGUUUACUAAAAACACAGGUCCGUGCGAAGCCGUAAGGCGAUGUAUACGGACUGACGCCUGCCCGGUGCUGGAACGUUAAGGGGACCGGUUAGUCGCAUUUCGGUGUGGCGAGGCUGAGAACUUAAGCGCCAGUAAACGGCGGUGGUAACUAUAGCCAUCCUAAGGUAGCGAAAUUCCUUGUCGGGUAAGUUCCGACCUGCACGAAUGGCGUAACGACUUCUCGACUGUCUCAACCAUAGGCCCGGUGAAAUUGCAUUACGAGUAAAGAUGCUCGUUUCGCGCAGCAGGACGGAAAGACCCCGGGACCUUUACUAUAGUUUGAUAUUGGUGUUCGGUUCGGCUUGUGUAGGAUAGGUGGGAGACUGUGAAGCUUGGACGCCAGUUCAGGUGGAGUCGUCGUUGAAAUACCACUCUGGUCGUGCUGGAUGUCUAACCUGGGUCCGUGAUCCGGAUCAGGGACAGUGUCUGAUGGGUAGUUUAACUGGGGCGGUUGCCUCCUAAAGAGUAACGGAGGCGCCCAAAGGUUCCCUCAGCCUGGUUGGUAAUCAGGUGUUGAGUGUAAGUGCACAAGGGAGCUUGACUGUGAGACCGACGGGUCGAGCAGGGACGAAAGUCGGGACUAGUGAUCCGGCGGUGGCUUGUGGAAGCGCCGUCGCUCAACGGAUAAAAGGUACCCCGGGGAUAACAGGCUGAUCUUCCCCAAGAGUCCAUAUCGACGGGAUGGUUUGGCACCUCGAUGUCGGCUCGUCGCAUCCUGGGGCUGGAGUCGGUCCCAAGGGUUGGGCUGUUCGCCCAUUAAAGCGGUACGCGAGCUGGGUUUAGAACGUCGUGAGACAGUUCGGUCCCUAUCCGCUGUGCGCGUAGGAGUUUUGAGAAGGGCUGUCCCUAGUACGAGAGGACCGGGACGGACGAACCUCUGGUGUGCCAGUUGUCCUGCCAAGGGCAUGGCUGGUUGGCUACGUUCGGGAGGGAUAACCGCUGAAAGCAUCUAAGCGGGAAGCCUGCUUCGAGAUGAGAACUCCCACCUCCUUUGAGGGGUUAAGGCUCCCAGUAGACGACUGGGUUGAUAGGCCAGAGGUGGAAGGCCGGUAACGGUUGGAGCUGACUGGUACUAAUAGGCCGAGGGCUUGUCCUA